CCAGGCCCGGAAUGAAGCAGCGCU
rnacentral:SRP_RNA from 2 species